CGAUUCGCCCUUCGGGGUGCCCAGGCGCGAAAACUCCACAAUGUACGACAGUACGAUGGGGUUAUCUCGAGUGCAGUCCGAUAAGGGCUGCUUUUCCAUAGAGUAAUAUCCUGUGGGAAUAAGAGGGGGGCAAGACUGGUGUCAGCCGCCGCGGUAACACCAGCCCCUCGAGUGGUGGGGACUAUUAUUUGGUCUAAAGCGUCCGUAGCUGGCUGUAUCCGUCCCCCGUUAAAUCCAGCGUCCUAAGCGUUGGACUGCGGGUGAUACCAUACAGCUAGAGGGUGGGAUAGGUGAGCGGUAUUUCUGGGGUAGGGGCGAAAUCCUUUGAUCCCAGGAGGACCACCAGUGGCGAAGGCUGCUCACUAGAACACGCCUGACGGUCAGGGACGAAAGCUGGGGCAGCGAACCGGAUUAGAUACCCGGGUAGUCCCAGCUGUAAACGAUGCCAGCUAGGUGUUGGGUCGGCCACGCGCCGCCCCAGUGCCGCAGGGAAGCCGUUAAGCUGGCCACCUGGGGAGUACGGCCGCAAGGCUGAAACUUAAAGGAAUUGGCGGGGGAGCAC
rnacentral:rRNA from 1 species